UAUAUAGACAUUAGAUAUAAUAUACAUUACGAAUAUAUAGACAUUAGAAUAUAAUAUACAUUAUGAAUAUAUAGACAUUAGAAUAUAAUAUACAUUAUGAAUAUAUAGACAUUAGAUAUAAUAUACAUUACGAAUAUAUAGACAUUAUAAUAUAAUAUACAUUAUGAAUAUAUAGACAUUAGAUAUAAUAUACAUUACGAAUAUAUAGACAUUAUAAUAUAAUAUACAUUAUGAAUAUAUAGACAUUAGAUAUAAUAUACAUUAUGAAUAUAUAGACAUUAGAUAUAAUAUUAUAUUUUAUACAUUAAAUCCUCUUCCUAAAUAUUUGGUAAAAUGAUGAAUUUUGUGUAUGAUUCUUGGAACCAAGGGGGGCUAAACUGACCACUUUGGCUCAACUUACCCCACUCUUCCCCUUGAUCUAGUCAGUUUGGUGUCCGUAUGGAUAGUUGACUGAACUUUGAACUCUGUCAACAUUUUGUUCAGCGAUGUGACAUACACCCGACCUGAUGUUAGCACACAGCUAAUAUUGACCCAAAUCAAUAAUUAGCAAAAUGCUAUCAUAGGAAUACAUUAUAUGAAUCUGCAACGUGUCAACGCACCCUGGUCCUCUUUAGGCUGGGUUAUAGCCUAGAAAUGUGUGUAUGUAUGUGUGUGUGUGUGUGUGUGUGUAACUGUGUGUUGUUGUAUGUUGCAGUGUGUAGUCUGUGGAUACAACAAGGGAAUGGGGUCUCCCACUCAGUUCGACAGAGAGACAGAGGCAGGAGGGGACGGUGUCCUGACAGACCAGAGCACCCACUCUGCUCUGACCACCAGUGGGAGUCCAUGUGUCGGUCUGACUGCACGCUACAAGGCCAGACGAAAGAGACAGAGAGAUAGACAAUUGAUCAAUAUAACCUUAUCGAAUCAAUCAAUAGCCAUAAUCAAUAAAUAA
rnacentral:lncRNA from 1 species